rnacentral:tRNA from 2 species
UGGCUGUAGCUCAACGGUAGAGCGCACGACUGAUAAUCGUGAGGUGGAGGUUCGAAUCCUUCUAGCGCAA